rnacentral:rRNA from 1 species
UCUUGGUCAUUUAGAGGAGUAAAAGUCGUAACAAGGUUUCCGUAGGUGAACCUGCGGAAGGAUCAUUAUAGAAUCAGCGCGCUCUCACGCGGAGCACGGCCGCGGUCACGUCAGUGGCGGUGGUCGUGGUUCGUGGUGGGUGGCGCGUCCACGCCAACCCUGUGGAAAUGCGAGGUGGAUGGCCAAAGUCGUCCACCCCUAGAACCAACAACCAUGUGAUGCGCGUCAGAGAACACAAUGUGAAAUGAACAACAACUUUUAACAAUGGAUCUCUUGGCUCUUGCAACGAUGAAGAACGCAGCAAAAUGCGAAACGUAUUGUGACAUGCAAUCUUUGUGAAUCAACGAAUUUUUGAACGCACCUUGCACCCAGCGGCACACGCCAGUGGGUAUACUUGUUUGAGCAUGGCCUAUUUUUCCAGUUCGCAUCUUGUGUGCGGGUUGGGAUUUGAGUUUCUGGCUCUUUAUUGAGCGAGUGAUUCGCAAAGCAUGCACCAUGGCCUACUGCCUCGUGGGAUAUCAAAUUUCAUGGGAUCCAGUAUUGUUGAUGGUGGUGGUUGAACCUUUAUGCAUUCGUGUGUGAACAUGUUCAAUCACAACCUGGCCUCUUUCUCUGUUUGUUUUCAUCGCUCGCGUUUUCACGUCUCAUGAGCAAAUAGACACGAACGAGUACAAAAUACGCAAUCUCAAAUCAAGUACGAAUACCCGCUGAUUUUCAGCAUAUCAAUAAGCGGAGGAAA